UGCAGCCAUCGAGAAUCUUCCAGG
rnacentral:piRNA from 1 species